GAUGAACGCUAGCGGCAGGCCUAAUACAUGCAAGUCGGACGGGAUUUCCGCUUUCGGGCGGGAUGAGAGUGGCGCACGGGUGCGUAACGCGUGAGCAACCUGCCCAUAUCAGGGGGAUAGCCCGGAGAAAUCCGGAUUAAACCCGCAUACGGAUAGAUAGUGGCAUCACUUUUUAUCGAAAUAUUCACAGGAUAUGGAUGGGCUCGCGUGACAUUAGCUAGUUGGAGGGGUAACGGCCACCAAGGCUACGAUGUCUAGGGGCUCUGAGAGGAGAAUCCCCCACACUGGUACUGAGACACGGGCCAGACUCCUACGGGAGGCAGCAGUAAGGAAUAUUGGUCAAUGGGGGGAACCCUGAACCAGCCAUGUCGCGUGCAGGACGACUGCCCUAUAGGUUGUAAACUGCUUUUGUACGGGAACAAACCUAUUUUCGUGAAAAUAGCUGAGUGUACCGUAAGAAUAAGGAUCGGCUAACUCCGUGCCAGCCGCCGCCGUAA
rnacentral:rRNA from 1 species